ACGACGCUGGCGGCGUGCUUAACACAUGCAAGUCGAACGAGAAUCUGUGGAUCGAGGAUUCGUCCAAGUGAAGCAGAGGACAGUGGCGGACGGGUGAGUAACGCGUGAGGAACCUGCCUCAAAGAGGGGGACAACAGUUGGAAACGACUGCUAAUACCGCAUAAGCCCACGGCUCGGCAUCGAGCAGAGGGAAAAGGAGCAAUCCGCUUUGAGAUGGCCUCGCGUCCGAUUAGCUAGUUGGUGAGGUAAUGGCCCACCAAGGCGACGAUCGGUAGCCGGACUGAGAGGUUGAACGGCCACAUUGGGACUGAGACACGGCCCAGACUCCUACGGGAGGCAGCAGUGGGGAAUAUUGCACAAUGGGGGAAACCCUGAUGCAGCGACGCCGCGUGGAGGAAGAAGGUCUUCGGAUUGUAAACUCCUGUUGUUGAGGAAGAUAAUGACGGUACUCAACAAGGAAGUGACGGCUAACUACGUG
rnacentral:rRNA from 1 species